AAGUGUUGCCCAUGUCAAAGUUGAGAUAGACACUACCAUCCCUCUACCUAAGAUCGUGGAGGUGGGAAGAUCGGAUGGUACCUUUGUAAACGUUGAAAUUGAAUACCCUUGGGUUCCACCAAUUUGUGCCCAUUGUAAGGAGAUUGGUCAUAUCCAGAGAAACUGUCUCCUUCUUCCACCUCCUGCCCCGCCCUCUACUAAAGAACCCCCUGCCCAUACCAAAAAUCCUUCAUCUGCUGGCCUACCUGUCUGUUACUCUUACAAGACAGCUGGCCAUCUCAUGAAAAACUGUCCCAAAGGCCCCAGGGGACCAAAUGACUGGAUCCCUGUAAACCACAGAAAAAAACCACGAGAAAAUACUCCCACCCAAACUCCAAAUUCAGAAAAUACUCCUCCAUCUGCCCCCUCCCCUCCUCCUCCUGACCUCACUACUACCACCACAAACCUUUCUCCUCCCUCUUCAGCUCAUACCCCUCCAAAAGACCCUCUCCCAAUCCAAGUCUCCCCGACUAAAGCCCCAUCCACCAUCAUGGAGAUUGACACUGACCCCCUCCCAUCUGAUAAUGAUGAGAUCAUAAUUAUUGAUGACACUGGUCCCUAUGUUUUGGGACUGGCAGCGGUUUUCAAAGAUCGCCCAAUUACCUCUGUCUCAACCAAAUUUGGCUCUCUACCUCCCUCGCCUUGUAUUACCUCUCUAAACCCCUUCGCCCCACUAUUAACCAACCCAUCUUCAUCUGACCAACCUUCCUCCUCGUCCAAAACCAGAGUUUCUUUCCCCCCUGAAACCUUGACUCCCCCAUUACCAAUAUCCUCUUCUCCUGUCCAAAUCAUCACCCCUCCUUCAACCACCAAACCUCUUGUUGUCCAAAACUCUUCUUCUUCAACUCCAGUUACCACUGUCUCUCCUUCUUCCAAGGAGGAACCCCAUCUUUAAUAAUGAAUCCCAACCUAUUUUUUUGGAAUGUUCGCGGACUUAAUGAGCAGGACAAGCACCGCCCUUUUGUGCGAUGGCUCUCUGUACAUAAGCCAUUAAUUGGUGCUAUUUUGGAGUCACAUAUAAAAGAGCCCAAUCUAAAUUCUCUUCUACUUCGAGUCUGCCCAGACUGGAGUUUUGUCUCAAACCAUGACACUGAUGCGGAUGGUAGAAUCAUUAUCAUCUGGAAGCACCCUGCAACAGUCCAAAUGAUGCACCAGACUAGACAGUCUAUUACCUGCUCUGUUACAAUCCCCUCCCUCCCUGCUAUCAUGUUCACUGCAGUCUAUGCUGCCAACACCCGAGAAGAAAGAUGUACUCUAUGGGACGAUCUCCAUGAGGUCCAAAGCACCCUCUUCUUGGAAAACCGAAACUGGAUAAUAGGAGGUGAUUUCAAUCAAAUUACUCACCAUGAAGAGCACUCCUCGGCUGCUGUUGAUCAUCUGACCACAGAUAUGAUAGAGAUGAAAGAUCAUCUUCUCUCUUCGGGCGUCUCGGAUCUCCGUUUUCAAGGCUCUAGUCAUACUUGGACAAAUAAAACCCCGACGAUGCCCAUCACUAAGAAGCUUGAUCGUGCUUUGGUCAAUGAUCUUUGGAUCGAGUCUUUUCCUGACAGCAUAGCCUGUCUCCUCAAACAUUCUCUCCAGAAGGUGUCCCUAGAGUCAUCAUUCCGGAUGAGGUAUAUCGUAGAGGAGCUGAACUCCAUAGGGACUUUGUUGUCUGCAGAUUCUUUGGGAGAGUUCCUGCAUAUAGCCUCAUACAAAAUGUUCUAAACUAUAUGUGGGGGAAAGGCAAACACCUAGAAAUCCACAUGGUCCCCACGAAGAAUUCAGUGCUUGUGAGAAUCCCAAAUGACUUUAUCAGAGAAAAAGUUCUUCUGAAAAGGCUAUGGUAUGUCGAUACUGCGAUGUUCCAUGUAUCAACAAGAUCGGAAUUCCCAGAUGGCUUCACCCCUUCACUCAACAAAAUCCAACUAUGGGCUCACCUCAAGGGUGUCCCGUUUGAUCUCAUCUAUACUGAAGGUCUGAGUCACAUUGCGGGUCAAAUUGGGGAUCCAAAGGAAACAGACGACUGGACCUUAAGCUUAACUAGCAUAAGUGUUGCCCAUGUCAAAGUUGAGAUAGACACUACCAUCCCUCUACCUAAGAUCGUGGAGGUGGGAAGAUCGGAUGGUACCUUUGUAAACGUUGAAAUUGAAUACCCUUGGGUUCCACCAAUUUGUGCCCAUUGUAAGGAGAUUGGUCAUAUCCAGAGAAACUGUCUCCUUCUUCCACCUCCUGCCCCGCCCUCUACUAAAGAACCCCCUGCCCAUACCAAAAAUCCUUCAUCUGCUGGCCUACCUGUCUGUUACUCUUGCAAGACAGCUGGCCAUCUCAUGAAAAACUGUCCCAAAGGCCCCAGGGGACCAAAUGACUGGAUCCCUGUAAACCACAGAAAAAAACCACGAGAAAAUACUCCCACCCAAACUCCAAAUUCAGAAAAUACUCCUCCAUCUGCCCCCUCCCCUCCUCCUCCUGACCUCACUACUACCACCACAAACCUUUCUCCUCCCUCUUCAGCUCAUACCCCUCCAAAAGACCCUCUCCCAAUCCAAUUCUCCCCGACUAAAGCCCCAUCCAUGAUCAUGGAGAUUGACACUGACCCCCUCCCAUCUGAUAAUGAUGAGAUCAUAAUUAUUGAUGACACUGGUCCCUAUGUUUUGGGACUGGCAGCGGUUUUCAAAGAUCGCCCAAUUACCUCUGUCUCAACCAAAUUUGGCUCUCUACCUCCCUCGCCUUGUAUUACCUCUCUAAACCCCUUCGCCCCACUACUAACCAGCCCAUCUUCAUCUGACCAACCUUCCUCCUCGUCCAAAACCAGAGUUUCUUUCCCCCCUGAAACCUUGAC
rnacentral:lncRNA from 1 species